GGGGUGGGUCCACCUCAGAUUCUGACAGGACUUCUGGCUUCUGGGGUGUUGGUGAGCCUUUUACCGAUGCACAAGUUCAUUGUAUCAUUGAUAUGGCUGACGUGACAGGAAAGGAUUAUUGCUGCCGGGGAGGAGGCUGAAGCUGCACUUUUACGAAGAAGAGAGAACAUGUAAACCAGUUAAUUAAACAUUCGGCAGAUUACUGCGAGUCGAUGCUUUUUUAUAUAAUCUCCCCAAAGGAGCUGUCAGUGACUUUAAACUCUAAAUUAAAAUAAUUGGGCAUCCCUUCGAAUAGAUGCUUCAAUUAAUGUGUUAGGCUGCCUUUUAUGCUGAAGUAUCUAAAU